rnacentral:rRNA from 1 species
GAUGAACGCUGGCGGCGUGCUUAACACAUGCAAGUCGAACGAAGCACUUAAGAUUGAUUCUUCGGAUGACGUCUUUUGUGACUUAGUGGCGGACGGGUGAGUAACGCGUGGGUCACCUGCCUCACACAGGGGGAUAACAGUUAGAAAUGACUGCUAAUACCGCAUAACCCGAUAGGAUCGCAUGAUCCAGACGGAAAAGAUUUAUCGGUGUGAGAUGGACCCGCGUCUGAUUAGCUAGUUGGUGAGGUAACGGCCCACCAAGGCGACGAUCAGUAGCCGGCCUGAGAGGGUGAACGGCCACAUUGGGACUGAGACACGGCCCAAACUCCUACGGGAGGCAGCAGUGGGGAAUAUUGCACAAUGGGGGAAACCCUGAUGCAGCGACGCCGCGUGAGUGAAGAAGUAUUUCGGUAUGUAAAGCUCUAUCAGCAGGGAAGAAAAUGACGGUACCUGACUAAGAAGCCCCGGCUAACUACGUG